rnacentral:lncRNA from 1 species
GCUUGAAGGGGGCACUUAGGUAUCCAGACAUGGACCGCUUUUCCAAUCUCACUUUCCUCUAGCAGAAGUAAAAGCUGGCUUCCAGAAGAGACCCACAUACAGUCAGAGACACCAGUUGUAGUGAAUAAAAAUAAAAAUUUACCAUCAGAAGACUACAUAAAAGCCCAGCCAACGUCAACAAUCCACCAUGCUCCCUUCAGCUACACACACUCAGGCUAUGUUCAAGAGUGUUCUCAUCUCAAGACAGUGGCUUUUCUUUGAACACACGGUUCACAUCUGAGGCAAGAACCCCGUCCUACAUAUUGGUUGGCUGCUUUAAUUCACCCCUUUCCCUAGUUUGAUCUCGGCAGCUGUCUCUGAUCCAGACAGACAACUUGAGUUUCUAGGACUCUUUACAGUUCUUUCACCCACCCUGAAAGUUCGAUUUUCUCAUUUGGAAUGUGAGUGAAGCAGUGUACCUUUACUGUGGUCACGGUGAAAAGUCUCAGAAAUUUGCCUCAUGACAAUGACUCAGUAAAGGAUGUGGCUUUCACGAGUCGCUGUGGGUAAACAACAGAGAGGGACUGAUUGCUUGAUUCUGCUUCUGAGGAGCCCUGGUUGAAAUGCAAUUGUACAACUAUAUGAAAAACAAGUCUCCCAAAACAUGCUCCACAGUACAGAAAAUGCCACCAAAUCACUAUCUUGAACAGAAAAGGACUUCAAGAUACAAACAUCAGCCAUGUGAGACACAGAAGGAACUGAAGCAGGUAGGAAGAGAAAUGAAAAAACCUGGGACAGUAAGACCAAAUUUUCCUUUCUCUAAGAGGACAGAUGUGGGGAACUACUGUUUUCAGAGGGCUAGUUAG